AACGAACGCUGGCGGCAUGCCUAACACAUGCAAGUCGAACGAGACCUUCGGGUCUAGUGGCGCACGGGUGCGUAACGCGGGGGAACCUGCCCUUAGGUUCGGAAUAACUCCCCGAAAGGGGUGCUAAUACCGGAUAAUGUCUUCGGACCAAAGAUUUAUCGCCUUUGGAUGGGCCCGCGUUGGAUUAGCUAGUUGGUAGGGUAAAAGCCUACCAAGGCGACGAUCCAUAGCUGGUCUGAGAGGAUGAUCAGCCACACUGGUACUGAGACACGGCCCAGACUCCUACGGGAGGCAGCAGUGGGGAAUAUUGGACAAUGGGCGAAAGCCUGAUCCAGCAAUGCCGCGUGAGUGAUGAAGGCCUUAGGGUUGUAAAGCUCUUUUACCCGGGAUGAUAAUGACAGUACCGGGAGAAUAAGCUCCGGCUAACUCCGUG
rnacentral:rRNA from 1 species